rnacentral:rRNA from 1 species
UACGUAGGGGGCGAGCGUUGUCCGGAAUCAUUGGGCGUAAAGCGCGUGUAGGCGGCUUGGUAAGUCCGGUGUGAAACCUUGGGGCUCAACCCCAAGCCUGCACUGGAUACUGCCUCGCUUGAGUCCGGGAGGGGAGAGCGGAAUUCCUAGUGUAGCGGUGAAAUGCGCAGAUAUUAGGAAGAACACCGGUGGCCGAAGGCGGCUCUCUGGAACGGUACUGACGCUGAGACGCGAAAGCGUGGGGAGCGAACGAGGA